GUUCAUGUACAAGAUCGGAUCUUUGGUGUUGCAGCUCUUGAAGUUGGAAGCUGUCACUUGAAUCAUUGAAUCUUCGCUUGGUGGGUACAAGAACACUGUUUCAGAUUAAUGAGUUUAGAUAUCUUGUUUAAUAAUAAAUUCAUGAAUUGAAUUGAAUACUUUUUUUACUUACAGAGGGAGUCACCGAUCUUGAAAGAGUGAGAUUUGGGCCAUUUCGUGUAUACUUUAGCAUCAGUCGGGAUACCCCAUGAGUCCAAGUCCCCAACUUUGUACUGCGUCGAAGACACUUGCACUAGCAGUAUCAUCACCAAAACCGUUACGCU
rnacentral:lncRNA from 1 species